UACGAAGGGGGCUAGCGUUGUUCGGAAUUACUGGGCGUAAAGGGCGCGUAGGCGGCCGUGCAAGUCAGAUGUGAAAGCCCUGGGCUCAACCCAGGAUGUGCAUUUGAUACUGCGCGGCUAGAGUGUCGGAGAGGAUGGUGGAAUUCCCAGUGUAGAGGUGAAAUUCGUAGAUAUUGGGAAGAACACCGGUGGCGAAGGCGGCGUUCUGGACUGCAACUGACACUGAGGAACGAAAGCCAGGGGAGCAAACGGG
rnacentral:rRNA from 1 species